CAGCUCGCGCGUCUUCCUCUCCAUACGAAGAAUCUUCCAGGUGUGACGAUCGUGUUGCUUCUUCGUCCUCCGCUCAGAAAUCGGACGGGCGCCAUUUUCUAUCCGUUGAAAAUGGUACAGUGACAACUUUCAACCUUAUCUCCAAUUCGAAUUUCGAAUUGCACUCCAAAUCCAUCCCAAAUUUUCCCCCUUUUCAGCCCUAGUUUGGCCUAUAAAUAUCCUCCUUUCUUCAUUGUUAGAAGUUGGAAGUUUUCGAGUCGAUACAAAGUGAAGGAUACAUUGAAAUACAUAGGUUUCUUUGAGGCAAAAAUAGGCACAAAAGUCCACAGAUAUUACAAAGUGUGUUUUAGGUUCUAUUUUCUUUUUCAUCGAAACCUCGGAAUAACGUCUCGCUGGUGAAAGCUUGUUAUCUUUAGCUCGUUUGGUCUCUGUUCGCUACUCCGAAAUAGGUGGAAGACGGUGAAUAGAUGGCUGGAAAUUAAAUUUUCCAUCCCCGAAAAGUCGAAAACAGGUUGAUAUACCAGCUGUAUACAUUGAUAUACAGUCAUAAUAUACGAUAUACAGGUACAAAAAAAAGUGGAAGUACAGGUGAAAUGCAGAGAAUAUAAAGUUCGACGAAAUAAAGGUUUCGAAAGGCCCAAAAUUGAUUGAACAUGGCUCGUAUACAGUGAUAUACGCAAAAUGUAUACCUUAAACAAUUUCUAAGCAGCUCAGGUUUUGCAUAAAAUGGGCCAAAGCCCAAUCGGACAAAUCAAAAAAUUGAAGGAGAGCAAGUGGGUCAAAAGGCCAAUUUAAUAGAGUUUGGGUCAAAAGUUUAAAUUUGAUAUUCCCUCUCUAUUGUAUUUAUUUGUUAUUGUGUUGACUAACUUUUUUAUAUUUUGGUUAUUAUUUAAUUAAAUUACCGAGAGAAGUCAUUUCCUUUU